UACGGAGGGGGCGAGCGUUAUUCGGAAUCAUUGGGCGUAAAGGGUGUGUAGGCGGUCUUGCAAGUCAGGGGUGAAAUCUCUCGGCUCAACCGAGAAACUGCCUUUGAGACUGCAGGACUUGAGGGCGUGAGAGGAGACUGGAAUUCCUAGUGUAGCGGUGAAAUGCAUAGAUAUUAGGAGGAACACCAGUGGCGAAGGCGAGUCUCUGGCACGCAUCUGACGCUGAAACACGAAAGCCAGGGGAGCGAACGGG
rnacentral:rRNA from 1 species